UACGGGGGGUGCGAGCGUUGUCCGGAAUCACUGGGCGUAAAGGGCGCGUAGGUGGUCUGAUAAGGGUGUGGUGAAAGCCCGGGGCUCAACCCCGGGUCGGCCGUGCCGACUGUUAGACUAGAGUACUGUAGGGGCAGGCGGAAUUCCGGGUGUAGCGGUGGAAUGCGUAGAGAUCCGGAGGAAGACCGGUGGCGAAGGCGGCCUGCUGGGCAGUUACUGACACUGAGGCGCGACAGCGUGGGGAGCAAACGGG
rnacentral:rRNA from 1 species